rnacentral:rRNA from 1 species
UACGUAGGGUGCAAGCGUUGUCCGGAAUUAUUGGGCGUAAAGAGCUCGUAGGCGGCUUGUCGCGUCGGCUGUGAAAACCUGGGGCUCAACCCCGGGCCUGCAGCCGAUACGGGCAAGCUAGAAUUCGGUAGGGGAGACUGGAAUUCCUGAUGUAGCGGUGAAAUGCGCAGAUAUCAGGAGGAACACCGGUGGCGAAGGCGGGUCUCUGGGCCGAAAUUGACGCUGAGGAGCGAAAGCGUGGGGAGCAAACAGG